GCCCUCCGGACAGCAUCUCUCCUCCCUCUCCCUCCAUCUCUAUUUGUCUGCUAGCCUGCUACAAAAUUCUAGAACUAUCUGAUUCCGAAGGCUUCUGUUGAAAAGUAGCGUGAUUUCAAAUGCUUCUGCUGAAAAGUAGUGUCAAUCUUCAGCAGAAGCCUUAGUUAUCCAUGGUCUCUCAUCCUGACUUUUGAAAAGCAGUUCAACAAUGUCUAUUGGGAUGUCAUCUCUCAUGGCAAGUUUUUCAUGAAACAAUUUUUGCUUCCCGUUUAUUUAUUUCUCUUCUUCGGUAGUUUCCCCUCAAAGGUUGUGCUUACCUGGAGAAACCAGAGGAUAUAAAUGAGGCAGUACAAUUAAUCUCUUACAGUAUUUAGCAGAGAAGCAAUAUUGUGCAAACACUAAUAUUGGUUUCCCUUCUCUUCGAUUAUAGUGCCAAAAAAAUAAUGGUGCCGAACUGCACAUACAUACGUGUGGUGGACACACUAUCCUGCGGCAUGAUGCUCCUGCUUCCCUGCUGUUUGCCAUGGAUUUAACAUAUUUGUCUUGUUGGGAAUCCGAGCAGCUGUUUCUGAAGGACGUCAACCUCCUUAAUCUGCUGGCUGAGCUAGAGAAGCAAUCACAAGAAGAAGCAUCUCGUGCAGUCCAUCAACUCAUCAUGUACGUGCGCAUCAGAUCAUGUAUGGUCCAGAGGAAAUAUUCCUUUCUCUUUCAAUUGAUUUGUCUCCUGGCCCCUUUUGUCUUUGUUUUAUAUGUCUGUAGGAUGUCAAGUGCCAGAACCGCUUCAACAUGUGAGCAUGAUCCUUUCCAAGCUUUAGUCAUGUGUUGCUAGCGAAACACAAUAACAUUAAUACCAUGUAUUUUGUAUUAUUGACUUGGGGAAUUGAUUUAAAUUGCUAUUGGUGGUUAUAAUAGUUUGCUAUACUUUUAGUAGAUUAUGUUUAUGCAAGUUAGACAUAGGGCUGCUGUUCGAGAAAGUAUGUAGAUUUAGGAAGUAGGAACAAGCCCAUCCUGUACUACUGUUGCGUUUUGCUGAUGUGCUCCUGUCGCAUGUGCUAAUGUUUGGGCUCUUGUCGCAAAAUCUAAAUUAUUGUUUGAAAAAAAGGGAGAUUUAAUUUGUUGUUAUUACAUAAAAUGGACCACAAUGUCGAAUCAACCAUUGUUAUACACUUUUAGUAGUACGGUGUGGGAUACGUUGUCUUUGUUUAAGGACAAUCAACCCGCAGUACAGGCUGACUAAAAAACGGUCCGCUUCUGAAUUGGUAUCUCCACCCCAUAUCACUAUCCCGACACCCAGCACAGCCUGUCCUUCUCUGAGUUUUGGCACUGCCAGACCUCCUCUCCGACUUCCGGCCUUUCCACGAGCUCCGGCCGAUGUUUUACCAUGCACGACACCUGGGGCCACCCCCGCGCCGUUGCAGUUUCCAUCUAGGAUGAUCAUAGCUUUCUCGAGCUCCGUCAGCCAUUUGCAUCCUAACUAUUCGGUCAAUUGACCCAACGGACCGGAGGGAAUUUUCUUUUUCUUUUUUACUUUGGUUUUCCAUUUAGUACUAAAGUGAUCACGACCACAACCACUAGACAAGACUAAUCUUAUGAGGAAGGCAUCAAUAGCGAUCUCAUCAAAUGGGUUGUGUCGCUUUGUUUUGACCUGUAUUUCCAGGGCUCCAGCAUGCUAAGCCUAGAAGGUAUGCAACUGGUUAUCCUACCUCCCUUCUUUCAAAGAAAUUGGUUAUCCUACCUCUAUCCAUGGCAAUGUCCAUUUUGUUUUGGUAGUGAUGAUCCGCAUCAUGUUGUGGUUUGUAGUAAAAAAUAUGUACCCUUUGCUGCGUUCAUUUCUUAGUGUCAGUUGACUUCUCAACUGUCUUCCGGUGUGAGAUUUAAUGUUCUGAAUAUAUAUUUUAAUUUUUGGAUCUGAUGAAUUGUCCAAGUGACUAAUUUUUUAGUAGUUUAUGGCAAUGCUAAAAAAUGAUUUUGAUUUUCAAGUUAUGUAAAUUACAGCAAAAAUUCUGAGACCUUGUGAUUGCAGCGAAUACUAAAAAGAAUAUGUGAGGUACAGUAAGUAUGCUAUGGAGCCAAAGUGCAGCCCUGUAUCUGUUACUUAGAAGAUUUUCUUGUGACCUGUGUUACAUUCUGUCUUGAUGCCUUAGUUAUUUCUUCUUGAUGUGCACUUUGUGUUGCCAUAAAUUGGACAAUUGUCACUUUUUUUCUGCGGCUGUCAUGGAUACAAUUCAAGGACUUCUAGACAUCAUUAUAUAUUUUCUUAACUUGUUUUUAUGCUGAGUAUGUUUUGAUGGCUUGUCAGCUGUUGGGGAGGAUCACAGUGUCUAUGAUGAAGAAUAAGAAUUUGAAUUUGGAAGGAGCCUUUGUAAUCUCUUAUUAACAAGACUGCAACAUCUGUUUACGGUUCAUUAAGAAUGGUAUGGGAAUAUUUGACUCCGGAGCUUUUGCUGAAUGGUAUUGUCGUCCAGAAGCUAGAGUUUGAAAGGUAUGUCCUGGUGCUCCUCACUUUCUGGGAUGAUCAAUCUCCUAUUAUACAUGGUGACGUACACAGGACAAGACCAAGCAAGCAUCAUGGUUGAUCUCAUGAGGAAGCUAGGUAGCUAUGUAUACGAAGCUAGCAGAUCAAAAGGCACACAAUCUGUGUACGCACGCAAGAGUUGUUGGCGGCUAAAAUCAACAGAUUGACAAAUUGUGGCCAGCAUACAGGCAGGCGAAGAUAGCCAGUGUAUUUGCAUGUUUUCUUGACUUAGACUACACAGGGCCCGCCUUGGGGUAUGGCCGAUGGGGCGACGGCCCAGGGCCCAGGCGAAGGGGGGGCCAUGAUGUAGUGUGUAUGUAUACUAUAGGCCAGCAAAAAUAGGUAAAUUUUUUUUACAGAAGAAACCAAACGACAUGGCCAGAUGGGAUAACUAGCGAUCGAUUAGCCAAGCGUCACGCGCGCGAUCGGUGCCAGAUGCGAGGCACGGCUGCCUGCUCGUUUUCCUUCGUCAGUUCCUCUCGUCGGUUCAUCUGUCUAAUCGUCUUCCUCCUCUCAUCUGCCGCCGCUGCGCGUGCCGCGGCCACACGGCCAUCCGGCAUCCGGGAAGGCGUCAAGUUGGUCGACUGCAAGUCUGCAACGCCGUGAACACACCAUAGAAUCAGAAGAUUACCUUUCAUCUAUUUUUGAUCCAAGAACAUGGGAAAUUCAUGACAAUAGCAAAAGGGUAUUUUAAUUGAGAAGGAACCUAUUAGACAACCAGAUCAGGAGUUCGAGAAGGACACCAUUGGUAGACACUUUUCAUAUGCUUUUAACUCCAGAAAGUUAAGUAAUGGUGAGUUUGUUGACAGAAAGUGGUUAUGUGUUGCAUUGAGAAGGAUAUCUUGGACAAUGUUGAUCUUGAUUGUGCCCUUAAUGACUUUGCAUCAAGAAACGUCCAAAGAAAAUUUUUCUGAAGCACUAAAGUAUUAUUGUUGUCGAUGGAUUCAAUCGAAUUUGGUUCUUAUUUGAGGUAAUCAUGUCAUGUUAGUUUCAUUUUGCUAUCUUUUUAGUAUUAUUGUUAUCGAUGGAAUCAGGUAGAAUUUGGUUAUUAUUGU